AUGCCAAUCGGGGAAAAUCCGCCCGAUCGAGCCCUUGGCUGCGGUACAGACCCCCGGAGCAGCGCCCCGUGUGCGCGGCACGGCCGUGGAGAGCAGCUGGAGAGCGGGUGCCCCGGCCCUCCCGAGGAGGGGGGCAGCGCGGGAGGCGUGGGGUGCUGCGUGCAGGUCAGGGGAGGCAGCCGGGCUGCCGGUGACAGGCUACAACCUGCCUGCGAUUCGACGCCUUUGGAAGCGAGUCCCGAAAGCGCAAAGCCAGACUGGCCUGGCGGAGAAGGGAGGGAAUCACAAGGCUCCUCAGGACAUCGGGAAGAGAUGGAGGAGGAGGAAAAAAAAGAGGAGGACAAGUCCGAAUAUGAAAGCACGGUCCUGGGGCYUAUCGAUCCAGCGUUUUCUGAAGGCAGCAAUGCAAACACGGAGCACGAAGAYGGGGAGCUGACGCCAGGGAGUUCAGCACAUCCAGAGGACCCCAGCGCUCCUGGAGAGGACCCCGUGCCCGGCCCCGCUGCCUUAGCAUCCCCCUGCCAGCACCAAUUAAUGCCAGCGCUGUCGGCUGCAGCUGAUCCUGGUGAAACGGCCCUGAGCCCGUCUGCGCUGCAGGAGCCCCAGGAGGCUCCGGACACCCYGGAUGCGGAAACGAACGGGGUCGAUUUGGUGCCCAAAGCCGGUGCGUCUGAUGCGGGGUCAUCCUGUGACAGCGGGCUGAUGCCGAGGUUAUCGCCCGAUCCAAGCUUUAUCCGCGGGGCGCAGGCCAUCGGCGUCCCGGCGGCUGCAGGUUCGGGCAGCGUCAGACCCGCCGGAGAGACGCGCGGGGCCGGUUUGGAGCCGAGCGACGAGGAUCGUGCGCCCUCUGCAGAAACGCAGGUGCCUGCUGAGCGCAAAGCUGCCGGCACAGCUGGCCUCGAGUCCCCGGGCAGUCGGGGACCGUCACUAGCGUCGUCCGCUGACUCYGGCCCCGUCCACCUCGCGCCUCGUGAUGGAGCAGCAGAUCUGGGGGCUGCUCUGGAGAACCAGGGGGCCGCGGCAGAUGUCCCGUCUCCGCCACGGAGCGACCUGGGAGAGGGCGGCUGCCUUUCCCGAUGGCGCAGAGGGGACUUUUGUGCUGAUCUCGCUUUGCUUCGCGCCGAUGAGUCAAACCAAGAAGGCAGCGAGAUGCCGGAGGUGUCUUCUGCUGGCUGGAUGGACGUGCUGGGCAAACCCCCAGCAGCGGGCGAGGGCCAGGGCUUUGCCUGCGACCGCGCAGCCUUGGGAGGUGACUCCRAA
rnacentral:lncRNA from 1 species